AUCACAACCCGAACCCCCAUUUGGGUCCAAGGAUUAUGGAAACCCUUGUUUUAGGGUUUUUGUAAUUUCCGUUUUAUCCCUACCCUAUUCAUCUCCACUCUGCCGAAAACCCCUUCCAUUUCUUUCCCUUCAACCCGUGUUUCACUCUGCCCUCAAUCUGUGUUGAAAUUUUGGAUUCUUUUCUUCUUCCACUUCCAAUUUAUGUGGUUUCUUCUUCUCUCUAUUCUCUUCCAUCUUUGUUUUGUGUCAAUUUGUUGAAAUUUCCGUUGAUUCUUUUUGUUGAAAACCCCUCCAAUUUGUUUCCCUUCAACCCGUAUUUCACUCUUCCCUCAAUCCGUGUUGAAAAUUUUUAUCUCUUCUUCUUCCACUUUCAAUUUCUGUGUUUCUACUUCUCCCUAUUCUCUUCCAUUUUCGUUUUGCAUUGAUUCGUUGAAGGGAAGUUCGGUCGGUAUGAAUUUUUUCGCCGAAAAAUCCAUUUCCCCAUUUACAUGGAAAAUGGGUUUCCUACAGUGAUGCCCAAGGCCGAUCUACAUUCUCUCUCACUCCACGAAAACGAAUGGUAGUUUGUUGAAGGCGACCCUCCAUCGGCGCUGCCUCCAAAUUUCUUUCAGUUUUCUCUUUUUUGCCUGUUCUCCGUGAACAUGCAUGUGCGUUUUUCCCAUUGAAUGUUUUUCUUGCCGCUCGAUCUAACCCCUUUGCCGCUCAGUGUUAAACUUGGCAUUUCGGGUUUCCGUUCAGUGAUGUAGAAUAGGUGCUUCUUGGUCUUGGGUGGCAAUGGGUCUAAGUCGAGUAUGGUAGGGAGUUAUUCUUCUGUUUGAAUCCUAUUAUUUUCAAACACAAGUCGAUGAUGAGUAGAUCUUUAUCUGUUUGCACAUACAUAUGAAUCUUUAUGUUACAUCUCAUACAUUUUGUGGUUGAUUUCCAUUCACUGAUUUCAUUACUUUUCGAUUCACCGAUUUAUUUCUACUAAUUUCAGAUGUAUUCCAUUCAUUAAUUUCGUUUCUACUUUGGUUUACUGAUUUCGGUACAUUUUCGUUGACUAAUUUAUUUUGUAUUUUUGUGUAUUGAUUUCGGUUUAUAUUGUUGUGAUUAAUCUUUUAUCUAUGCACUUGACAAAGUGAUUUUUCGUAUUGUUUCUGUUGGGAUGAUUCGGUCCUUUGUACAUAUACUUUUUUUGGUCUCAAAAUUAUGAAUUCUCUGCUUCACUGUCAUCAAAAUAUUUUUUUUUCCAAGUUUAGUUUAGUCAUUAAUAUCUUUGGGAAAAAACCAUUUCUUUGCAGAUUGUUUUGUCCCUUCAACAUAUUGAGUUAUCUUUUCUCACCGUACUUUUUGUGUAGCUUCCAAUAUCUACCUUUGACUAUGCUUGGACUUAUCCUUUAGCCUGAUUUUGCAGAGAUGCUCUCUUCCUUUUUUGGUGUGGUCAUUUAUGUCAUUAUUUACUCCCUCAUCUCUCCCUAUAUAAACCCAAGUUCCUCCUUUCAUUUACCACUUGAUUUGUCAUUGGUUGUCUUCUUCCUUUAUUUUGAAAAUUUCUCAUUUCGUAGGUAAAUGCUUCUAAGCUUUCCAUACUUUUGUCUCUAAUGUAUGUUUCUACCUUGUUUUCUCACGUAUGUUUCUGCCUUGUUUUCUUACAUACAUUCCAUAUUUCUUUUUUGGUACUCACGUAUGUUUUAGUGUUUUCUCACGUAUGUUUCUGUCUUUUUUUCUAAGUACAUUCCAUAUUUACAUAUUUCCUUAUACAAUUCUUCUGUCUAUGUAAAAAGAUUUCUUUCCUUCUCUCCUAAUGUAUGUUUCUUUCCAUAUAAAUGUACCUUACCGAUUUGCUACUAUGUUAUGUACUUUUUUUUCCUUCUAAUGUAUGUUUAUUUACAUAUUACUGUACCUUACUUAUUUUUCAGUGAUGUUUUGACCAUUAUGAAUCUCCUCUUAAUGUUAGAUAACUUUACUUAUUGCUAUUCAUUUUCUUUCAUGUCUUGCGGCAUUUUGUACCUUCUACUUUGGCUCCUCAUGCUUUGUUGUUUGUUUUUCUUCCUUCAUAAUUGAUGUUUCCACAACAAUGAAAUCUGGUUCAACUUAUCGAACCGAUUUCUAAACUUUGAGGUUGCUUAACAUCUAUUUCGAAAAAUUAUUUUUAUGUUUGUAUUCUUUUUAACACACUAUUUUUAUGUUUGUAUUUUUUUUAACGCACAUCUUUGAAUCUUUAUUUCGGGUCCUUUCUUCUAUGCACAAGGUAUGUAAUUGUUCCUUUUCUGUUUUUUUUCUUCAUUUCUGCUGCAUUUAAAAUACUUUUCCUAUUUUCGAUGUUUGUCGAUUCGUAACUUCUUUACUUUUUUAUGUAGAAUGUCCGCGAACAUCCUACCUUGUAAGAGGAAAUUUUAGGUUAUUCGAAAUGGAUCGACAAGCCCUUCUUGGAGCCCUAACUCCGUUCACACUGGCCCAAUGUCAGAUGCUUCUAACACUGUACAAUACUAGGCAUAAAGUUAGACAGCUUUAGUAUUUUCGCAUGAUACACGAGUCUGAUUUAGUGUGCCGACAAAGCACGCGAAUGGACAGAACGACAUUAUUCAAAGGGAAUUCGUACGAUCCGGUAAGACUAUAUUGCGGCAUUUCAACCUCGUCUUGUUAGUUGUGGUAUAAUUCCCCGAUGAAUUGAUAAAGAAACCGAUGCUAGUAACAAACAACUGCACGGAUCCACACUAAAGGUGUUUCGAGGUGUGGGUAGUCGAAGUCAUCUGUAUGUCACCUAUCAGUACAACCCACUAAUGUAUGCUCGUUUGUAUAAAACUAUAGAAUUGCUUUGGGACGUUGGACAAGACAUACAUAAAGGUGAACGUGUCCGCAAUCGAUCGCCCUACGUUCAGAACACGUAAGGGAGAAAUUGCCAUAAAUGUACUAAGCGUAUGUGACACAAAAGGAAAUUUAGUAUACGUACUGGUCGAUAGGGAAGGAUCCAUAGCAGACUCGUGGAUUCUCUGGGAUGCGCUUGCACGACCAAACGGACUGCAAGUGCCAAAGGGAUAUUACUAUCUGUGCAAUGCGGAUUAUCCAAGCGCGGAGGGAUUUCUCGCCUCAUAUAGAGGCCAGAGGUACCACUUGCAAGAGUAGCGUAGCGCUGGAAAUGCCCCAACCAUUGCAAAGAAAUACUUCAAUAUGAAACACUCAUCAGCAAAGAAUGUGAUUGAGCACGCGUUCUGUCUUCUGAAGGGUCGAUGGACAAUACUUUGUGGGAAGUCAUACUAUCCUCUUCAAGUGCAAUGUCACACCAUCCUAGCAUGUUGCCUAUUGCACAAUUUGAUAAAUGGAGAAAUGAAAAAUUGCAAAGACAUAAAUGAGGUUGACGAGGCAGAUUUCACAAACGUGGUGACCACUGCAGGAAACGACGUUCAGUACAUUGAGACCACAAACGAGUUGUCUUAGUGGUGGGACGAACUAGCUGAAGCAAUGUUCAAUGAAUGUAUGACAACCUCAUCCCGUGCCCCCAAACAUGUAUGGACGAAAGAGGAGGACACUCUAGUCGAGUAUUUAGUGGAGUUGGUAUCCAUCGGUACAUGGAAGUCCAACAAUGGUACGUUUCGACCAGGUUACCUGGCCCAACUUGUCUGCAUGAUGGGUGAAAAGUUGCUGGAUGUUGUGUCCGAGCAACCACUGUAAUAGACUGCAGAAUUAAGACACUUAAGCAGACCUUCUAGGCCAUCGCAGAAAUGUAGGAGCCAACGUAUAGUGGGUUCAAAUGGAACGAUCACGUAAAGUACAUCAUUGUGAAGAAGGAAGUCUUCGAGAACUGGGUUAGGUUGCAUCCUGCAGCGAAGGGCCUCUUUAACAAACCAUUUCCAUAUUACGACGAACUUGCAUAUGUGUUCGGAUGAGAUAGGACGACGGGUCCCUUUUGUAGAGACGUUCGCCGACGUCGGGUCUAACGAGCUUGUCGGGUAUAAGGGAUUUGACAUGUUGGAUGGAAACGAUAUGGAGUUCUCAUCCAUGUACAGCUAGGGGAUUGAUAUGUCCUAGGAGGAUGUACGCGCAUCACAACCUUCUCGCGCGUCAGAUGGUAGGCCUGGAUCGAGCGACUCUAGAGAAAGAGGAGAAGCUAGCGGGAGGUGAGCUUGAGGUGAUACAUAUGGCCCUAGAGUGUAUGAAUGACCAACUCAGGACCAUUGUCAAGUGGCCUACGCGUGCACUUGCUAAUGACACCUUUGUUCGCCAUGAAUUCUUACGUCUAUUAUGUGAGAUGCCUAACCUAAGCAGUUUGGACAGAGCGUUGUGCCAAAGGCAACUCAUGUCUCAUAUGGACGACAUGCGCGAUUUUGUAGAGAUGACUGACGAAGAGAGGAAGGGCUUUCGUAGAGUCCUCCUACGAGACGUCUCAAGAUAGUUUAUGUCCUUUGGUUGGCUUACUUCAUCUUUUCUUACUUUACUUGGAUUAUGUUUUUUACUGUUCUUUGUAAUUCUAUUUUAUCAAACUUUUUUUUGGUGUAUUUACGAUACUUCCAUGUGUUAUGAUUUCUACUCAUUUAUGCAUACGUUUUUUUUAAUGUUC